GGCGCUAUCGUCUAGUCAGGUCUAGGACAGGUGGUUCUCAGCCAUCAGACCGGGGUUCGAAUCCCCGUAGCGCUA
rnacentral:tRNA from 1 species